rnacentral:rRNA from 1 species
AUUGAACGCUGGCGGCAGGCCUAACACAUGCAAGUCGAACGGUAACAGGAAGAAGUUUGUUUUUUUGCUGACGCGUGGCGGACGGGUGUGUAAUGUCUGGGAACUUGCCUGAUGGCGGGGGAUAACUACUGGAACCGGUAGCUAAUCCCGCAUAACGUCGCAAGACCAAAAUGGGGGACCUUCGGGCCUUCUGCCAUCGGAUGUGCCCGGGUGGGAUUAGCUAGUAGGUGGGGUAACGGCUCACCUAGGCAACGAUCCACAGCUGGUCUCCGAGGAUGACCGGCCACACUGGAACUGAGACACGGUCCAGACUCCUACGGGAGGCAGCAGUGGGGAAUAUUGCGCAAUGGGCGAAAGCCUGAUGCAGCCAUGCCGCGUGUAUGAAGAAGGCCUUCGGGUUGUAAAGUACUUUCAGCGGGGAAGAAGGGAGGAGAGUGUAUACCUUUACUCAUUGACGUUACCCGCAGAAGAAGCACCGGCUAACUCCGUG